AUGUCAGAAUGCUUCAAUAGGGUGCUGAAGGGUGUACGUGCGUUACCCGUGACGACAAUAGUUCAGUACACAUUCGACAAGUUGAAUGCAUACUUUCUGAAGUACUCAAUGGAAACGGAUAAGCAGAUUGCGGGUGAGAACAAGCACAAGUACAAGUACAAUUUCCCACCAAAAGUUGAUGAAUGGUUGAAAUUUCAAUCACGGAAGACAGACUCACAAAAGGUUAUAUUAUAUAACAAUGACAAUUGGUUGUACGAAGUGAAAGAGCCAGGAGGAACCACAAACGAUGCCCGCCAACACAGAGCCCAGGCUUGCAAGGUCUCCCUAACACGGUGUGAUUGCUCUUGAGGGAGGCCAUCGUUGCUUCAUCUCCCAUGCUCGCACUUGUAUACUGAAACUCACGUUAGGAAUGUGGACGUCAAUCAUCCGCUCACCGUGAGGGAGUCAGAGUUCUUGAUACAUCUCCAAUGUAUCUAUAUUUUUUUAUUGUUCCAUGCCGUUAUAUUAUCAAUCUUGGAUGUUUUAUAUUCAUUUUAUAGCAACUUUAUACCAUUUUUUGGGACUAACCUAUUGACAUAG
rnacentral:rRNA from 1 species